CAAGUAGUGAGGAAGCGGGGAUGACGUCAAAUCAGCACGGCCCUUACGUCCAGGGCUACACACGUGCUACAAUGGCCGAUACAGAGGGCAGCUACCUGGUGACAGGAUGCAAAUCUACCAAAGUCGGUCUCAGUUCGGAUCGGAGUCUGCAACCCGACUCCGUGAAGUUGGAUUCGCUAGUAAUCGCGCAUCAGCCAUGGCGCGGUGAAUACGUUCCCGGGCCUU
rnacentral:rRNA from 1 species